rnacentral:rRNA from 1 species
AACGAACGCUGGCGGCAUGCCUAACACAUGCAAGUCGAACGAGACCUUCGGGUCUAGUGGCGCACGGGUGCGUAACGCGUGGGAAUCUGCCCUUGGGUUCGGAAUAACAGUUAGAAAUGACUGCUAAUACCGGAUGAUGUCUUCGGACCAAAGAUUUAUCGCCCAAGGAUGAGCCCGCGUAAGAUUAGCUAGUUGGUGAGGUAAUGGCUCACCAAGGCGACGAUCUUUAGCUGGUCUGAGAGGAUGAUCAGCCACACUGGGACUGAGACACGGCCCAGACUCCUACGGGAGGCAGCAGUGGGGAAUAUUGGACAAUGGGCGAAAGCCUGAUCCAGCAAUGCCGCGUGAGUGAUGAAGGCCUUAGGGUUGUAAAGCUCUUUUACCAGGGAUGAUAAUGACAGUACCUGGAGAAUAAGCUCCGGCUAACUCCGUGCCAGCAGCCGCCGUAAC